CAGACACGGAACUGCCCGGUCCUGCCUGCUGAGGCGUUUCCCUUCUUUUAUGAAAACAAGAAUGAAAUCUCUGUGGCUUUUCCUUUCCCUGUUAUCGGCCCCUACCUGUGUCCUCUCUCAGGUGCAGCUGGUCGAGUCCGGCCCGGGCGUGGUGAAGCCCGGACAGACCCUCACACUGACCUGCGCCGUCUCGGGUGUCUCCAUCACUGACAGCAGCUACGCAUGGAGCUGGGUCCGGCAGCCCCCCGGGAAAGGGCUGGAGUGGGUAGCAAGUAUAUACCCAUACGACGGGAGAAAGUGGUUUGCGGCGUCUCUCCAAAGCCGGACCACCAUCUCUUCGGAUACCUCCAAGAACCAGGUCUCCCUGCAGCUGGCCUCCCUCGCGGCUGCAGACACCGCCAUGUAUUACUGUGCCAGAGACACACAGUGACACAGAGCAAAGCGGGG